rnacentral:rRNA from 1 species
GGGGGAAUAUUGGGCAAUGGGCGAAAGCCUGACCCAGCAACGCCGCGUGAGGGAAGAAGGUCUUCGGAUUGUAAACCUCUGUCCUUGGGGACGAAGAAAGUGACGGUACCCAAGGAGGAAGCCCCGGCUAACUACGUGCCAGCAGCCGCGGUAAUACGUAGGGGGCGAGCGUUGUCCGGAAUUACUGGGCGUAAAGGGUGCGUAGGCGGUUUUUUAAGUCAGAUGUGAAAUCCCCGGGCUUAACUCGGGUGGUGCAUUUGAAACUGGGAGACUAGAGUGCAGGAGAGGGAAGCGGAAUUCCGUAGUGUAGCGGUGAAAUGCGUAGAUAUUAGGAGGAACACCAGUGGCGAAGGCGGCUUUCUGGACUGUAACUGACGCGUGAGGCACGAAAGCGUGGGA